UACGUAGGUGGCGAGCGUUGUCCGGAAUUAUUGGGCGUAAAGCGCGCGCAGGUGGUUAUAUAAGUCUCAUUUAAAAGUGCUGAGCUCAACUCAGUGAUGGGUGAGAAACUGUAUGACUUGAGUGCAGGAGGGGUAGGCGGAAUUCCUAGUGUAGCGGUGAAAUGCGUAGAUAUUAGGAGGAACACCAGUGGCGAAGGCGGCCUACUGGACUGCAACUGACACUGAGGCGCGAAAGCCAGGGGAGCAAACGGGAUUAGAUACCCCGGUAGUCCUGGCGGUAAACGAUGGGUACUAGGUGUAGGCGUAGCGAUACGUCUGUGCCGCAGCUAACGCAAUAAGUACCCCGCCUGGGGAGUACGGCCGCAAGGUUG
rnacentral:rRNA from 1 species